rnacentral:rRNA from 1 species
UACAGAGGGUGCGAGCGUUGUCCGGAAUCACUGGGCGUAAAGGGCGCGUAGGCGGUCUGCUAAGCGUGUGGUGAAAGCUCGGGGCUCAACCCCGAGUCGGCCGUGCGAACUGGUGGACUGGAGCACGUCAGAGGCAGGCGGAAUUCCGGGUGUAGCGGUGGAAUGCGUAGAGAUCCGGAAGAACACCGGUGGCGAAGGCGGCCUGCUGGGACGUGGCCGACGCUGAGGCGCGACAGCGUGGGGAGCAAACAGG